GGCCUGGUGGUCUAGUAGUAUGAUUCCUUCUUAGGGUUUAACCGUUUGGAGGAGGUCCCGGGUUCAAUUCCCGGCCAGGCCC